rnacentral:sRNA from 1 species
GCUGGGCAUGGUGGUGCAUGCCUGUAAUCCCAGCAGGUGGUGCAUGCCUGUAAUCCCUCAGGAGGCUGAGGCAGGAGGAUUGUGAGUUCAUAGCCAGACUCAACAAAAGCGAGGUGCUAAACAACUCAGUGAGACCCUAUCUCUA